rnacentral:rRNA from 1 species
UACGUAGGGACCGAGCGUUGUCCGGAUUCAUUGGGCGUAAAGAGCUCGUAGGCGGCUGCUCAAGUCGAAUGUGAAAACUCGAGGCUCAACCUCGAGCCUGCAUUCGAUACUGGGCGGCUAGAGUCUGGUAGGGGGAUCUGGAAUUCCUGGUGUAGCGGUGAAAUGCGCAGAUAUCAGGAGGAACACCGGUGGCGAAGGCGGGUCUCUGGGCAACAACUGACGCUGAGGAGCGAAAGCGUGGGGAGCGAACAGG